AAGGAAGAAAGGAAAGGAAAAACAGCAACAAGUAAUUUUUAGAGACUUUUUGGUUCAUAUUACUUAAAAUGUUAAAAGAAAUUUAAAAAGUAUUUUGCUUUUUAACAUGAAGCAGUCAAACAGCGAGCAGUAGCCGGCUAUUUAUGCAGAGAUCACAAAGGUCCACAUAACUGUGUACCCUAAACUGGCUGCGAAACACCGGGAAUCCAACACGGCAGGCAUCGACAUCUUCUCCAAGUUCUCUGCCUACAUCAAAAACACAAAGCAGCAAAACAAUGCUGGACACGUCAAAGAGGGUCUGUGAGCUGGCUCCACCUGUUACACCUUCGGGAUUGUUACGUUUGACCCCGAAGCCCUGGUCCUGUGCUCUGUCAGGUUGUCUAUCACUGCUCAGCCUCCUCCUUCUGUGAUUACCCGAUCCUGGUCCCCUUGGUCUGCUGAGACCUGAUUCCACCUCCACGCCCUCCAUGCUCCCUUUCCAAACUUGUUCUUCACUCCGCUUAAAGGUAGCACUGACUUCCUCAUCAGAAUGGCCCAAGACCCCCCAUGGAGUAAGGUCCUAUGCGAGCUUACUUUCUUAUCACUUGGGAUCCCCACUGCCACCCUGGUUCGUGGGGGAACCAAGGACCCUACAGGCAACGGUGGGGUGGUUCCAACUUGCAGCCUCUGGCAUCGGCUGCCUGGGCUCAGACCCCAGCUUCGCCUCUCUUCUUGCUGGCCUUGUGACACUGGGCCCAUCAUAUCAACUCUGUGUGCCUCGGUUUCUCAUCUGUAGAAUGGGCACAAUAAUUGUACGUACCUCAGGUUAUAUAUAACUAUAUUAUUUUGAUUACAAUUACACAUAGUUAAGUCCAUGAGUGAGAAGAGGGGAGCACUAGGGACAACAUGAAGGAUCACCCAUACUUAUGGGAGGGCAGCGCGAGAGGAGUCAGGGAGGAAGGUUAAGGUCUAGCCAGGGAGUAAAGAAGAAAGCUAGGAAGGGUAGAAGACGGAAAAGAUGCUGAAGAUGAGGAAGGAAAGUUUGUUUUUUUGAAGUUUAUUUUUUUAUCUUGAGAGAGAGAGUGAGCAGGGGAGGGGCAGAGAGAGAGAGAGAACGAGAGAGGGAGGGAGGGAGAAUCACAAGCAGGCUCCACACUGCUAGUGCAGAGCUCGAUGGCAGGCUCAAACCCACGAACCAUGAGAUCAUGAGCUAAGUCAAAAUCAAGAGUCCGGACGCUUAACGGACUGAGCCAUUCAGCACCCCCGUUUGUUUGCUUUAAGAGUGAUCCGUGGUAUGAAAUGCUGUGCACAGGGUCACGGGAAGCCUCGUUGUCGCACACAGCUGCCUGGAGCAGUCCUUGGGCGGCUUCUCUGGAUACAUCCCCUUGGCCUGCAGCUGCCCAUGUCUCAGAUCCUACACCACCAGAGAGAGUCCGGGCUGGCCAGAGGAGCAGGGCCCUUCUCCUUUGGCAGGGAGGGGGGUGAUCUGCACAGGAGGAGACCAUGGGGGAAUGGGAUCCAGAGCUCACCAGGAGGGAGCGCUCGUGGCCUGAGAAAGGACAUCUCAGGAUGGAGAGAGCAGCACUGGGCUUGGAUUCGGCUGUAGGAGCCCCUGCUCUGAGCCCCUGCACGGUGCAUUUUCAAUCCAGCAGGGGCAAGUAGCUGGUUCAGUAUGGAAGGUUUACAGCAGAAGGACCAGGGGAAGGCGCCAGCUUUGGCCAUCCCGUCUUCGGCACAUCUGGUGACCCACCUGGUGGUGAGGUGUGACCAGCGGUCAGCUCUGUCCCCACCCCGAUUGCCAUGCUGCUUCCCCGAGAGGCAGAGUGCAGUGGUGGCCUGGCCUCCACCUUCAGCAGCGCUUGGGCCUACAUCGCUCACAUCCUCCACCUCUCUCUGCAAGUGUUGCCUCCUGGACUUACUGCUUUCACCCUCCUCUGAGAUGCCACCGCCACACGUGGAGGUCCGGUGACCUGGCGGCAGCCCCGACCCAUAGCUCUGGCUCUCCUGGCUCCCGUACCCCAUCCUGCUCCGGCACCAUGCCACGGGGACAUCGCUGCCUCUCUGGUUGUCCCUUCCCUUGAAGGGUUUCUUUUACACCCUCCUUAAACCUGUGUCCCUCACUCUGUCUUCUCCAAGAGGACCUGGGCUUUUCUCUCUGAAUACCCACCCAUCUUCCCUUUUGCAUUCUGAACCUUCAAACUGCCAUUUCAAGACUCUAAAAAUCUCUGCCCAACCCCUGGGCUUUCAAGAAACUCAUUUUCGCUACUUACCCUAAUCUGGAGGUAAACUACUAUAUUUAAAAAAAUUUUUUUUUAACAUUUAUUUGUUUUUUGAUAGAGACAGAGUGUGAGUGGGGGAGGCACAGAGAGAGAGGGAGACACAGAAUCCGAAGCAGGCUCCAGGCUCCGAGCUGUCUGCACAGAGCCUGAUGCGGGGCUCGAACUCAUGGACCGUGAGAUCAUGACCUGAGCUGAAGUCGGACGCUUAAGCAACUGAGCCACCCAGGCACCCCAAAAUACUACACUUUUUCACAACUUCCCUUUUUCCUUAUGCUUUAUCCUAUUAAGUCUACAGGUUUAUUUCACUUUCUGUAUAUACUGUGCAUUCUAGGCGAUUGACAGGAGGUCUAAUGUGCAUCUUUAAUUCUCUGUUAGUCACUAUUUAAAAAAAAUUUUUUUUAAUGUUUAUUUAUUUUUGAAGGAGAGGGAGACAGAGCAAGAGCAGGAGAGGGGCAGAGAGAGAGAGGGGGGAGAUACAGAAUCCAAAGCAGGCUCCAGGCUCUGAGCCAUCAACACAGAGCCCGAUGCAGGGCUCGAACUCACAAGCUGUGAGACUAUGACCUGAACCAAAGUCAGACUCCUAACCAACUGAGCCACCCGGGCACCCCUCUAUUCAUCACUGUUUUUAAAGUCCCUUCUACGUUUCUUCUAGCCCUAUCACAUUUCCCCAGAUACAGUUAAUAUUCCUGCUCCAGUAUAAUUAUUCAUGUUGUUGUUGGCUUGUGUUGUAUUUUUUUUUUAAUAAAUGUCUAUUCAUUUUUGAGAGAGAGCGUGCCAGCAGGAGAGGGGCAGGAAGAGAGGGAGACAGAGGAUCCAAAGCAGGCUCUGUGCUGACAGUGGCGGGCCCGAUGCGGGGCUCGAACUCAUGAACCGUGAGGUCAUGACCUGAGCUGAAGUCAGACUGACGCUCAACCGACAGAAUCAUCCAGGGCACCCCUCGUGUUGUAUUGUUAUGUACUUUUCCCCAUUUUCUUUUUGCACAGAGAGGGAGCAGACAGGUGUAUGCACGUGGACUGAGACAAUCCAGUAUUUCUCCUGUUGCAUUCACACCACACCUCCCAUCUCCAAUCUCCUGCACGUGCCCACUUCCACGGGACUCUCUUCCCUCCUAAGGGGUGUGCAAAGCCUCACACCCCGUCUCUUUUAUCUCAUCCACACCUCCUGUGAAGCCUUAUGGCUUUCCCCAGCCACAUUUGCAUAUUCCUUUUUUAACUCCUCUAACGCAUACUCAUCACGCUGCUGGUACCCCACAUUUCUGUGCCGAAUGGUGUUUUUCCCAAUUUGCAUGAUUUCGGGCUUUCGAGGCUUCCUUGGAAUCCCCUCGUCUCUUCCCCCGUCAAGUGUAGCAUUUUCUUCUAUUUUUGUGUCUGUGUUCUUCCCUCCGAUGAGCCGCCUCGUUAUCCUCAAAUGUAUACUCCACUUGCUCAGGAAAGACUUCAUAACCGCUCGCAGAGCCCAUGCCCAGCAGAGCAGCACAGCAGAAUGAGGUGAGAAAGAAAAACAAGGCGGGGGCACCAUAAAACAGAACUCAGGGUGAGCUUAAAACAGCCAGUUCCGAGAGCCCCAAAGCCGCACACACACGCAGACCGCAAAUCUGGCACUAAACCUACCAGCGGACGAAAGCCAGAAGGGACCCCCGGUCAGCUACAGUUGGGUUCUCCCAGGAGACAAAAACCUACCAACCUCCGGGAAGAAUGACAAAUUUUAUUGAUUUGAGGACUCCAGGCUUGGCGGAGCUGUUAUUUUCAUUUACUUUGACCUUUGGCCUCCUUUGAUUUCCCUUUCCUUUGUCUGUAGACAAAGCUGUCGGUCUCUUCCCUGCAGGCAUUGGCCCCACCUUGCCCCUGCCCCCCCCCACACCCUG